UACGAAGGGUGCAAGCGUUGUUCGGAUUUAUUGGGCGUAAAGCGCGCGCAGGCGGAUGAGAAAGUCAGGUGUGAAAUCUCGGGGCUUAACCCCGAAAUUGCGCCUGAAACUGUUUAUCUAGAAUAUUGGAGGGGAUAGGGGAAUUUCUCAUGUAGGGGUAAAAUCCGUAGAUAUGAGAAGGAACACCGGAGGCGAAGGCGCCUAUCUGGCCAAUUAUUGACGCUGAGGCGCGAAAGCGUGGGGAGCAAACAGG
rnacentral:rRNA from 1 species